rnacentral:misc_RNA from 1 species
GGGAGGGGUUGGGUGGCGCCGCGCGCGUGCGGGGCAUGGGAGAGAGAGAGAGGUUAUUGAUAAUCAUUACAAAUCAAAUUCCCAUGGUCUUUCAUUUCGAGGGAAUCUUUUAGUUUAACUGUAUUGAGAUUUACCCUGGAUCAAACAAUGACACAUUCUUGCAAAAGAAAAAAGAGACAGAUUCAGGUUCAACCCUGCUUUUUCC